CUCCGUCCCCGCCCGCACCCGUCUCUCUCUCUCUCUCUCUCUGAGCUCCGCUCACGGAGCUCGCAGAGAUCGCCGCCGGAGCUUCCCGCCGGAACCCUCCGAAUACGCCGCUCGUUCUCCGCCAUCGCCGGCUCUUCGUUCCGUUUAUGAUGUUCUGUUGGUAGCUCUGGCCAUCGGUUGACACUGCGACUGAAAAUGUCUCUUGCUGGCUCCAUGUACUUGUCCCAUAAUUUGGGACUUCCCAAGGAUAGGGGCCGCAAUUACUUGUUGAAGAGCUUAGGCGGAAGAGGCAACUUGUGCGUAGGGAGUCUCUCUUUGUCAUCACGUUCUUCGGAAUUUUGGAGUACGGCUCAAUCUCGAAGUUUAUAUGCUCCGGUAUAUACUGUACAAAAUACAUACAGUGUUUUUAAAUGCUAUUCUUUUUUAGGUCCAAGGAAUUUGCAUGAAAAUUCACUAGUGAAGACUGCAGCCGCCGCAAUGUCCAGGCCGUUCAGUGUGUUACAAAGUAGUCCUAUUACACUGAAGUUGGUUGCCGCUAUCAGCAUUGUUGUCUUUGCUUUUUGGGGGCUUGGUCCGCUUAUGCGCCAGAGCAGACGAUUACUACUUCAUAAGAAUGACAAUAAUUGGAAAAAGAGCAACACAUACUAUGUGACAACUUCCUAUUUUCAACCUUUGCUACUUUGGAUGGGUGCAACAAUUCUCUGCAGAGCAUUGGAUCCAGUUGUUUUACCAACAGAAGCAACCCAAGUCGUUAAGCAACGGCUUCUGAGCUUUGUGAGGUCAUUGUCAACAGUGUUAGCUCUAGCCUAUUGUUUGUCAAGCGUGAUUCAACAGACACAGAAGUUUCUCAUGGAUAAAAACGAUCCUAGUGAUGCAAGAAAUAUGGGUUUUCAAUUUGCGGGGAGAGCGGUAUAUACCGCAGUAUGGGUUGCAGCUGUUUCAUUGUUCAUGGAGCUGCUAGGGUUCUCUACCCAAAAAUGGCUUACUGCUGGAGGUCUUGGGACAGUAUUACUGACUCUUGCAGGACGUGAGAUAUUCACAAACUUCCUCUCUAGUGCAAUGAUUCAUGCAACUCGUCCUUUCGUUGUGAAUGAGUGGAUUCAGACAAGGAUAGAAGGCUAUGACGUUUCUGGUACUGUUGAGCAUGUGGGAUGGUGGUCUCCAACAAUCGUGAGAGGUGAAGAUCGUGAAGCAGUUCAUAUUCCAAAUCACAAGUUCACCGUGAAUGUUGUUAGGAAUCUGAGCCAAAAAACUCAUUGGCGGAUUAAAACUCAUCUAGCAAUCAGUCACUUGGAUGUCAGCAAAAUCCACAAUAUUGUUGCUGACAUGCGCAAAGUGUUGGCAAAAAAUCCUCAAGUUGAGCAGCAGAGGUUGCAUCGAAGAGUAUUCUUGGACAAUAUUAAUCCAGAAAAUCAGGCUCUUUUGAUCUUAGUAUCCUGCUUUGUGAAGACAUCGCAUUAUGAAGAGUACCUCUGUGUCAAGGAAGCUAUAUUGUUAGAUCUCCUUAGAGUAAUAAGCCAUCACAGGGCCCGACUUGCCACACCAAUUCGCACAAUGCAGAGAAUAUAUGGUGACAACGAUCUGGAAAAUGUACCAUUCAAUGCAGGCUUCCCUCAAGGUGGAGUGGUAUCUAACCGUCCCUUCUUGUUGAUUGAACCCCCAUAUAAGAUCAAUGGAGAGGAUAAAACAAAGACCCGUGCCACUCGAACACCUACUGGGGAGCAAGGUGGUAAGAAAUCCACUCAGUCAACACCUGACACCACUGCAGAUUCUAAGGCUGGAAACACACACCCAUCUGACUCAAAAGUCAAAGAAAUGCCAAUUGCCGACCUUAAAUAUGAUACCAAGAACAAAUCUGGGGGAAACAUAGAGUCCAAAGAGAAUAAGAAGAACAAAAGCACACCUGUUUCUGAUGAAAAAAUGGGGGAGAACAUGAAGAGUAAGCCAGUGUCAAAGCCCGCCUCAAGGUUGAACGUUCAGGUUGCCACUCCUAGUGUUGAAGUCAAACAGAUGGACUCGAUUCCUAAUAAACUCACUGAAGAAGUUUGCAACGGCGAGCAAUCUAAUCUAGUUCAUCCUGAGAAAAGCUUACAAAAGAGUGAGGCCAUGUCUUCUUCUGUUCCCUCUUUAGGAGCUGACACUGAUAAAGAAGCUGGGACAAGUUCUCCAUCGAACCAUGAAAACAAGAAGAUGGUCUCACAUCCACCUGUAUCGAGGCCUGCUUUGGAAGAUAAUAUAGUACUCGGUGUUGCAUUAGAAGGGGGAAAGAGAACGCUCCCUAUUGAGGAAGAGGUGAUUCCUCCCAAUAAUGCAGGUUUAAUAGAUUUAAAUGCCGAGAAGAACAAAGAUGGUUCGGUUCCGGCAUCUCCCAGUAAAAGUUCCACCCAUCAGAAGCACCAGUUAGAUUGAAUUGUAGAUGAUAGUUGCUUUGGUUCGCCGCUGACUGUUGCCAACAAGCUAAUACCAUGAUUCCAUGCAUUACUUUGUGAUGCAUGUUGUUUCUUUAGCUGAUUUCCUACCUUGUUAUGGUAGGGUCGAAUGCUGCUGCUGUGGAUUAGUCACUGAAUCUCUAUUGUAUGAGAGAAGGCCCCUAAUGAAAAGCUGUCACCGCUGAAGUUCUGAAGUGAAAA